rnacentral:tRNA from 1 species
GAUAAAAGAAUUAAAUUCAUGAGUAAGUUUACAGCUUACCGCCUAUUUUCAGCCAUUUUAUC